CCUCUUCCUCUCCCUCAGGUCUGGAGGUGAAAUGUUUAGAUCCUCCCUCUUACCCCCCCAUGUGGUUGUUGUGGCUAGUGCGCCCUCUGCUGGUGUCCAGUCCGUACGCCGUGUGCACUGUGCUGCUGGUGCUGAUCUACAGGGAGCAGCGUCGCACAGGAAGUCCACACCCUGUUUCCAUGGAGACGGGCCAGCAGGAGGAGGAGGAUGAUGACAUCGCCGCUGAGGUCACCACCGAGCACAGCU